AUUGAACGCUGGCGGCAGGCCUAACACAUGCAAGUCGAACGAGUGGCGGACGGGUGAGUAAUGUCUGGGAAACUGCCCGAUGGAGGGGGAUAAAUGCUGGAAACGGUAGAUAAUACCGCAUACCAUCGGAUGUGCCCAGAUGGGAUUAGCUAGGGGGUGGGGUAAAGGCUCAACUAGGCGACGAUCCACAGCUGGGCUGAGAGGAUGACCGGCCACACUGGGACUGAGACACGGUCCAGACUCCUACGGGAGGCAGCAGUGGGGAAUAUUGCACAAUGGGCGAAAGCCUGAUGCAGCAAUGCCGCGUGUAUGAAGAAGGCCUUCGGGUUGUAAAGUACUUUCAGCGAGGAGGCGUUACUCGCAGAAGAAGCACCGGCUAACUCCGUGCCAGCAGCCGCGGUAAUUC
rnacentral:rRNA from 1 species